rnacentral:lncRNA from 15 species
UACUGCAGAAUAUUCUGAGAUGAAUAAUUUUGUCCAAAAAUAUUAUUUUACCUCGGAUGACGACUAUGGCGACCGGCGGCACGCCUGCAGCUGCUGCUGUACCAUUUGUGAUUACAUUUGGUUAUAAAAACUUCAAACAGGACGCCAUCAACAAAAAGAGCACUGACUGCAAAGUCUGCAGUACCCCAAUCAAGGAUGCUGGAUCCACCACAUCACAUUUUAUCAGGCACCUGAAAACUCACCCGGAGAGGUUUUCUGAAUUCAACAGAGCGAAAAAAGUGGCCAGUGGCAGUGCAGAGGGACAGAGCAGCCUUGACUCUUUCUUAACAAAACCAGGUACAGCAGUGAGCAGUGACCUACAGUCUACACAGCCCAGUGAAGUUAAACAUAUUAUAUAUUCCAUAAUAUUAACAACUUUAGUCAAGCAGUUGUUUCUAGUGAAGAAACAGCCAGUAAAUGUACCAAAGUAAUCAGAGUAAUAGUAUAAUGAUUACUGUAACCUCCCAUCUGUUAUAUUCUUUAUACACAUUAGUUUACUGAGACCAUGGAAACAGAAACCUGGAAUACUUUAUCCUGUACAACAUGUCAACAUAACUGAAGGAAUCACUCAUCUAAUAAAGUCAAUUGUUUAUGGGGUUGAAAAACUGCUAAGUAACCAACUGUUAACUGUACUGUAUCCAUAUUUCAUAGUCUGA